rfam:Ovis aries breed Texel chromosome 2, whole genome shotgun sequence.
UCCCUAGUGGUCCAGUGGCUAGGACUCUGAGCUUCCAAUCCAGACGGCCUGGGUUUAAUCCCUGGUCAGGGAA